UACAGAGGGUGCAAGCGUUGUUCGGAAUUACUGGGCGUAAAGCGCGCGUAGGCGGCUUUGCAAGUCGGGUGUGAAAUCCCCAGGCUUAACCUGGGAACUGCAUUCGAUACUGCGGUGCUUGAGGACUGGAGAGGAGACUGGAAUUCAUGGUGUAGCAGUGAAAUGCGUAGAGAUCAUGAGGAAGACCAGUGGCGAAGGCGGGUCUCUGGACAGUUCCUGACACUGAGGCACGAAGGCCAGGGGAGCAAACGGG
rnacentral:rRNA from 1 species